rnacentral:rRNA from 1 species
GAUGAACGCUAGCUACAGGCUUAACACAUGCAAGUCGAGGGGAAACGGCAUAGAGUGCUUGCACUCUUUGGACGUCGACCGGCGCACGGGUGAGUAACGCGUAUCCAACCUUCCCAUUACUGUGGGAUAACCUGCCGAAAGGCAGACUAAUACCGCAUGGUCUUCGAUGACGGCAUCAGAUUUGAAGUAAAGAUUUAUCGGUAAUGGAUGGGGAUGCGUCUGAUUAGCUUGUUGGUGGGGUAACGGCCCACCAAGGCGACGAUCAGUAGGGGUUUGAGAGGAAGGUCCCCCACAUUGGAACUGAGACACGGUCCAAACUCCUACGGGAGGCAGCAGUGAGGAAUAUUGGUCAAUGGGCGAGAGCCUGAACCAGCCAAGUAGCGUGCAGGAUGACGGCCCAGGGUUGUCUCUUUUGUAUGGGGAUAAAGUGAGGGACGUGUCCCUUUUUGCAGGUACCCUACGAAUAAGGACCGGCUAAUUCCGUGCCAGCAGCCGCGGUAAUACGGAAGGUCCAGGCGUUAUCCGGAUUUAUUGGGUUUAAAGGGAGCGUAGGCCGGAGAUUAAGUGUGUUGUGAAAUGUAGACGCUCAACGUCUGACUUGCAGCGCAUACUGGUUUCCUUGAGUACGCACAACGUUGGCGGAAUUCGUCGUGUAGCGGUGAAAUGCUUAGAUAUGACAAAGAACUCCGAUUGCGAAGGCAGCUGACGGGAGCGCAACUGACGCUUAAGCUCGAAGGUGCGGGUAUCAAACAGGAUUAGAUACCCUGGUAGUCCGCACAGUAAACGAUGGAUGCCCGCUGUUGGUACCUGGUUUCAGCGGCUAAGCGAAAGCAUUAAGCAUCCCACCUGGGGAGUACGCCGGCAACGGUGGAACUCAAAGGAAUUGACGGGGGCCCGCACAAGCGGAGGAACAUGUGGUUUAAUUCGAUGAUACGCGAGGAACCUUACCCGGGCUUGAAUUGCAGAGGAAGAAUUUAGAGAUAAUGACGCCCUUCGGGGUCUCUGUGAAGGUGCUGCAUGGUUGUCGUCAGCUCGUGCCGUGUGGU